rnacentral:rRNA from 1 species
ACGUACGCUGGCGGCACGCUUAACACAUGCAAGUCGAACGAAGUAGCAAUACUUAGUGGCAGACGGGUGAGUAACAUGUGGGUAUCUACCCUUUGGCCUGGAAUAACACGAGGAAACUUGUGCUAAUACCGGAUAAGUCUUUACGGAGAAAGCUUUAUGCACCAUUGGAUGAGCCCGCACUUGAUUAGUUUGUUGGUGGGGUAACGGCCUACCAAGACUUUGAUCAAUAGCUGAUUUGAGAGGAUGAUCAGCCACAUUGGGACUGAGACACGGCCCAAACUCCUACGGGAGGCAGCAGUGGGGAAUCUUGCACAAUGGAGGAAACUCUGAUGCAGCGAUGCCGCGUGAGUGAAGAAGGCCUUUGGGUUGUAAAGCUCUUUCGUCGGGGAAGAAAAUGACUGUACCCGAAUAAGAAGGUCCGGC